GAGUUUGAUCCUGGCUCGAGGAUGAACGCUAGCGGCAGGCUUAACACAUGCAGGUCGAGGGGCAGCACGUCUUCGGAUGGUGGCGACCGGCAAACGGGUGCGGAACACGUACAGAAUCUGCCCUUAUCUGGGGGAUAGCCUUUGGAAACGAAGAUUAAUAACCCCAUAACAUUAUUUGGUGGCAUCACCAUGAUAAUUAAAGAAUUUCGGAUAGGGAUGACUGUGCGUACUAUUAGCUAGUUGGUAGGGUAACGGCCUACCAAGGCGACGAUAGUUAGCUGGUGUGAGAGCACGACCAGCCACACGGGCACUGAGACACGGGCCCGACUCCUACGGGAGGCAGCAGUGAGGAAUAUUGGUCAAUGGACGGAAGUCUGAACCAGCCAUGCCGCGUGAAGGAUGAAGGCGUUCUGCGUCGUAAACUUCUUUUACCUGGGAAGAAACCUGAGUAUUCUUAUUCAGCCGACGGUACCAGAGGAAUAAGCACCGGCUAACUCCGUG
rnacentral:rRNA from 1 species